UUCUGGGAUGCACGUUUUAGCAUCGCUGAAAUCAGAAUGUGUCUUAUAAUCGAUGGUAUGUGGUAGUUAGGUAGUUUUUUCCUUGUUAAUGUACAUAAUAUAGUGGUGCAUCAUAUAAUUGAUGAUAUCGAUCCUUAGAUUUGAUGAAACAUGAUUUAUUAUCAUCCCCAAUCCUCAGAUGAGAAAACCGAGGCUUGCCUUAGGUCACCAGCUUCAAUGAGGCAGAGAGAGGGCUGAAAUCUGGGCCUCCAGGCUUCUUACCCAGGGCCCUUUCCACUCACCCCAGAUGAACUGCCUUUGCAGGGUUUGCUCACUAGGGAGAGGCAGGAGCUGAGGGGAGGGCCUUCCAGGGCCUUCCUCAGCAGCUAGUGAAUCACCAGCCACCCUUCCUUGGAAAAGGACCUUGAAGAUAGAUUUUUUUCCCUCUCCAAAUUCUCUGAAGACUGAAGUUCCUUAAGGACUAAGAAAACACUUGCCUCUCUUCCAGCGACUUUUCCUGGUGCCUGGCUGGCUCAGUCAGCAGAGCAUGCAACUCUCGAUCUUGGGGUUGUGAGUUCGAGCCCCACGGUGGGUGUAGAGAUUACUUAAAAAUAAAAUCUUAAAAAAAAUGUUUUUAUUGAGAGCAAUUUUAACAAUACAAAAAAAGAUGUUGCAAAGAACAAUAAAAAUGAUUAAUAUUUGGUUAUACUUAAUUUCUGUCUUUGUUUUUAAGAAACAAGGAGUAACAGGAAAGCCCUCCUUACAGACGUCUAUCAGGAUCCUGAAAAAACAUUUAAAUGAGAGCUCUGAAAGAGGCUCAGAAGGAUUGGGUCACACCAGGCCCAGGCCUCAUGGCUCCUGGACUGAGGUCCAGGCGGAAAUUCAGUCCUGCCCAGGCUGUUCUUCACAACAAUGAUGAACGCAGCUCCCAGUUACUUACCUCAGUGUCCCCACAAUGCAGACGAGGACACUGAAACCCAAAGGGUCAAGCGACUCGGUCAUCAUGGAGAAAGUGACCCACCUGAGACUGUACUGAGGCUGGGAAGACGUGAGUGGCAGAAUGGACCCUGCUGGGUAGGAAGACAUUCUUCUGCACACUCAGACCCCAUCGGUUGCUCCUGGUUUGGGAUCCAUGGGGUCCCGCUGGGGGCUGCUCAGUUCUGCUCAUAGUCAGCUAACCUGGUGCUCAAGGGGAUAGGAUAGGAUAGGCUUCGACUCUCCUUCAUGCCCAGGAGUUGCCUGCUUGCUAUGGUCUGAAUGUUUGUGUCCCCCCUCAAAUUCAUAUGUUGAAAUCCUAAUGCCCAAUGUGAUGAGGUUAGAAGUUGGGCCUUUGGGAGAUGCUCAGGUCAAGAGGGUGGAACCCUUUGAAUGGGAUUAGUACCCCUAUACAAGAGACCCCGUGGAGCUGCUUUGCCCUUCUACCACGUGUGGACAUAACAAGAAGUUGGCAAGGUGUGAUUCGAAAGAGGGCUUUCACCAGAACCCAACCCAUAUAGGCACCCUGAUUUUGGGAGUCGAGCCUCUGGAACGGUGAGAAAUAAAUUUGUUUAUGAG